rnacentral:rRNA from 1 species
AACGAACGCUGGCGGCAUGCCUAACACAUGCAAGUCGAACGAGACCUUCAGGUCUAGUGGCGCACGGGUGCGUAACGCGUGGGAACCUGCCCUUAGGUUCGGAAUAACUCCCCGAAAGGGGUGCUAAUACCGGAUAAUGUCUUCGGACCAAAGAUUUAUCGACUUUGGAUGGGCCCGCGUUGGAUUAGCUAGUUGGUAGGGUAAAAGCCUACCAAGGCGACGAUCCAUAGCUGGUCUGAGAGGAUGAUCAGCCACACUGGGACUGAGACACGGCCCAGACUCCUACGGGAGGCAGCAGUGGGGAAUAUUGGACAAUGGGCGAAAGCCUGAUGUAGCAAUGCCGCGUGAGUGAUGAAGGCCUUAGGGUUGUAAAGCUCUUUUACCCGGGAUGAUAAUGACAGUACCGGGAGAAUAAGCGCCGGCUAACUCCGUG